UCUGCCAACACAAGGACUAUAAUUCAGCAAGUACAAGCAUGUUUGUUUCACCGGCAGAAAACUUGUAGAAGCCAUGGAAAAUUUACCUCCUCAUCGAUAUAUUCAGAUGAUUUUGCUUCCUCUUCCUCACAGGUUUGUCCUAUUUUCUGCCAACACAAGGACUAUAGUUCAGCAAGUACAAGCAUGUUUGUUUCACCGGCAGAAAACUUGUAGAAGCUAUGGAAAAUUUACCUCCUCAUCGAUAUAUUCAGAUGAUUUUGCUUCCUCUUCCUCACAGGCAGGCGUACCUUGUGGACCACAGCCGGUUGGUGUUCUGUUUAAUUCUGCUCAAGAGCGCAACAACAAUUGCGAACUCGUGCAGAUAUCGGACGAAGUCGGUAGAACGGCGGUGUCUAAAGGAAUCUCCUGUUGAGGUAGUAUUCGAGGGAGUCGAGCAGUAUUUAUAGCUAACUUUGGCUUGAGGAACGGGCAAAAUUGCGUGUACAUGCAGGAGAGCAAGAGUUUUCCUCUGGUACGUUGUCGUCGUUUUGUCA